UGAAGUCUUGUAUGGUGUAGGCCCAGUGUU
rnacentral:piRNA from 1 species